AAGGUGGUGCAUGCUUAUCCUAGCAUAGAAAGCACGUCCUCGAAGUUCCUCCUGCAGAAUACGGAAGUAUUGGGGGGGAAUAUUCUUUGCUAAAAAGUGACUGCUGAAAUGGAGAUUGUGUGGCGAUAUUAUGAGACCAUAAAGGAGCUUUGUGGGGAGUCGGCACACUUGAGCAAGCAGUGGACGGGGCCGUCAUGAAUGCGUUCGAUGUAUUUUUCCAAGUCCUAUCUUUACUAUCCUUAAUUCCCUAGGAAGAAGUAGAGGAGGGGGCCAUUUCGCUUUCCGGAGAUAGCGACACUGGUCUCUGUUUAAUGCCCACCCAA